rnacentral:rRNA from 1 species
ACGCUGGCGGCGUGCCUAAUACAUGCAAGUCGAACGGCUUUUCUAUGGAAGCUUGCUUCCACUGAGAAGAUAGUGGCGAACGGGUGAGUAACACGUGGGUAACCUGCCCAUAAGAGGGGGAUAACAUCCGGAAACGGGUGCUGAUACCGCAUAGUUUUUCUUGAUCGCAUGAUUGAGAAAGGAAAGACGGCCUUUGUGCUGUCGCUUAUGGAUGGACCCGCGGCGUAUUAGUUAGUUGGUGAGGUAACGGCUCACCAAGACGAUGAUACGUAGCCGACCUGAGAGGGUGAUCGGCCACAUUGGGACUGAGACACGGCCCAAACUCCUACGGGAGGCAGCAGUAGGGAAUCUUCCGCAAUGGACGAAAGUCUGACGGAGCAACGCCGCGUGAGUGAAGAAAGGUUUUCGGAUCGUAAAACUCUGUUGUCAGAGAAGAACAAGUUGGAGAGUAACUGCUCCAGCCUUGACGGUAUCUGACCAGAAAGCCACGGCUAACUACGUGCCAGCCGCAGC